GAAGAAAACACUUCAUUGGGAGGACAUGAACACAUUGAUUCGAACAUACAAGUCACUGGAGAUGUAGAAAGUCACUUGCAAGGUGAUGGCUAUGACAAUAUUCCAACGUCUUUUACUAUCGAGAGGUCAUGUACUCCCCCUUUAUCACAGGAAUUUCCACACCACUGGAACUCAAAAAUGGAGGAAUUCUCUCAGGUGCAUAUGCAUCUCAAAAAUGAGGCUCAGCAUGAUGUUUCCAGUUUUCAUGCACAAACUCCUUAUCCCUAUUAUAUUUCAGGAGUAAUGAAUCAAGUCAUGAUGCCGUCAACUCAAAUAUAUCACGAGAGCCUGCAACAUCUCCAUAAUCAUGCUAAUUCAGCUAUGUUGCCUCAAUACAAUUAUAUGCCGCAAUAUCCUCAUAUGCAUGGAAUAUCAUCAUAUCCUUUCUACCCGAUCGGCAUGUGCUUACAACCAGGUCAAUUGCCAGCAGCACAUCCAUGGCAUUCGUUUGGCAGUUCAUCUUCUGCCGAAAUCAAGGUG
rnacentral:misc_RNA from 1 species